rnacentral:rRNA from 1 species
UACGGAGGAUGCGAGCGUUAUCCGGAUUUACUGGGUGUAAAGGGAGCGUAGACGGUUUUUCAAGUCUGAAGUGAAAGCCCGCGGCUCAACUGCGGAACGGCUUUGGAAACUGAGGGACUAGAGUGCUGGAGGGGCAGGCGGAAUUCCUGGUGUAGCGGUGAAAUGCGUAGAUAUCAGGAGGAACACCAGUGGCGAAGGCGGCUUGCUGGGCCUGUACUGACAUUGAGGCACGAAAGCGUGGGGAGCAAACAGG